UUCAAUCCCCUUCGGGCCUGGCUACAUCUCCUUCUCCCCAACCUCCUUCUCCACGACCGGCCGCCACCACAGCCAGGCCGGCGUGGUAAAGCGCCUCUCAACCAUCCAUCUGCCACACACCCAUCCAUCCAUGCCACCACCAGCACCCAGCCACCAGCAUCCAUCUCCUGCGCGCCACGACAGCACCACCAUGUACCACCAUCUCCAUUCAUCCGUCCACCGUGCCCCCGCAAGCGUCUCCUACUUUUGCUGUUGUUGCUCUAUCCCUCAUCCCCAUCCCCUGCUGCUGCUUGUCUCCUACUCCUCGCUGAUGCACCUAUUCCUCUCAACCUCCCUCCUGCUGCUUCUUCUCCCACGUUAUAGCCCCUGCUCCUUUUCUGAACCUCAAACUCUGCUGCACAAUCCACCUGAUGCCCAUGUUCCCCCCCUUGAUCCUAUCUCUUGCUUCUGCUGAUUUCGUCAACCUCCUACUCCUCUUCUUCUCCCCUCAUCCCUGCUGCUGCUCCUUUUCCCCAUUAUCUCCUGCUGGGUCCUAACCUGAAGCUCUUCUUCCCUUACCUCGCUGCUGCACCUCCUCCUCUCAACCUCCCUCUUGCUGCUCCUUUUCUCCCACUGCUGAGUCUCUCUUCUCCCAAAACUGCUACUCUAUCUCCCUCUCUCCCAAAUUUUUGUAAACUUGACAAGUGUAAUAUUCAGAAUUAUGUAAUAUUCAGAUUUGUGUUCUGACAAGUUAAUGCCUAGUUGCUCUGUAUAAUAUUUAGUUAUGUGAUUUUACGUUUUCAGUUAGUAUACUGCUAGCAUGUGUUUGUGUUCAACCUUGUGAACUUGUUUCAUUUUUUGUCCACGUAUUAGCUCAAGUGCCUGUGAUAUAUAUAAAUGCAUGUGUGUGUUUGUGUUGUGAAACAUCUAGCUCCUGUCAUAUAAUUCUGUUCUUUCCUCUGUUGUAUGUUAGCUAGUUAUAUACAUAUGUCCAUGUCUUUGACUUCUCUUUUGUAAUGUUGGCAUUUUAUUUCUCUAGUCUAUUGAUAAUACCAAAAAGGCAGAGAGUAUAAUCUGAACCUCCCUUUGCUUGUUUUACAUUUUCUUGGUCGAUGAAUU
rnacentral:lncRNA from 1 species